ANUCGAUUAGAGUUUGAUCAUGGCUCANNNUGAACGCUGGCGGCAUGCCUUACACAUGCAAGUCGAACGGUAACGCGGGGCAACCUGGCGACGAGUGGCGAACGGGUGAGUAAUGCAUCGGAACGUGCCCAGUAGUGGGGGAUAGCCCGGCGAAAGCCGGAUUAAUACCGCAUACAACCUACGGGUAAAAGCGGGGGACUCGCAAGAGCCUCGCGCUAUUGGAGCGGCCGAUGUCAGAUUAGCUAGUUGGUGGGGUAAAAGCCUACCAAGGCGACGAUCUGUAGCUGGUCUGAGAGGACGACCAGCCACACUGGGACUGAGACACGGCCCAGACUCCUACGGGAGGCAGCAGUGGGGAAUUUUGGACAAUGGGCGCAAGCCUGAUCCAGCCAUGCCGCGUGCGGGAAGAAGGCCUUCGGGUUGUAAACCGCUUUUGUCAGGGAAGAAACGCUCUGGGCUAAUACCCCGGGGUAAUGACGGUACCUGAAGAAUAAGCACCGGCUAACUACGUGCCAGCAGCCGCGGUAAUACGUAGGGUGCAAGCGUUAAUCGGAAUUACUGGGCGUAAAGCGUGCGCAGGCGGUUGUGCAAGACAGAUGUGAAAUCCCCGGGCUCAACCUGGGAACUGCAUUUGUGGCUGCAUAGCUAGAGUACGGUAGAGGGGGAUGGAAUUCCGCGUGUAGC
rnacentral:rRNA from 1 species